AGCGCCUGUGUGCCCACCGUGCUCGUUCGAAAGUGAAAGUGAAAGUGCUCGUAUUGCGUUAUACUUCCCCUUGUAUGCUCUACCUACAGAUAUUUAAACGUCCUAAACGAAAAUUGCCGAGAUCUAUUAAGUGAACUGCCGUGCUCCGCCGAAUGGACUUAAUUUCCGGUCUUCAAGACGAUGGAAAAUUUCUUGUCUCAAGUAAAAGAGGCGUCUAAGGAGAUCACGACAGAUCUUACUGAGGCAUUUACGAGUUUGGCUGAAGAGGUCUUCGAAACCGAAGCCCAUGAUGACAUUCCGCCAACUCCUCCGACAGAUGAUGACAACAUUUGGAUUCGGGAAUGCGACGAAAAGGAAUUAAGAGUCAUAGCAAUGGAUUACAGCAAUGAGGCUGUUACCAAACUUGAAAAAGGCCAACUAGCUGCUGCAGCUGAGUCCUUCACAAUGGGAAUUAGACUAAAAUGUAGGGAUGAAAACCUCAAUGCGACAAUGUACUCUAUGAGAGCAAAGGUGCAUUUGUAUUUGGGACGUAAAGAUGAAGCACUACGUGAUGCAAAGGCGGCGAGGGAAUUUAAACCAUUACAUCUAGAAGCCAUAGAAAUAGGUAGCUCUCCAAGAAUUUCAAGUUCUCUUAACACGUCAUAUCAGUAUAAUGCGUUCAAUUUUACUUAGCAUGAUAUAGCUGGGGAAAGAGUUUCGCUUCAGCCUGAAAAGAGUUCCGUGUGCAAAAUUGGGUCGGGGUUUUGACUACAGGGUGCCAUAUAAAAGUUAUUAUUUUAGGUAUAUUGAGCCUCAAGAUUUGAACCACGCUUUCCGUAUCCUCGGUCAUUUUGCUCCUCGCACCAACUUUUAUUUCGCAUCCAUAGGUGCAGAAACUUGUAUUGAGGAAGUUAUUAUUUUAGGUAUAUUGAGCCUCAAGAUUUGAACCACGCUUUCCGUAUCCUCGGUCAUUUUGCUCCUCGCACCAACUUUUAUUUCGCAUCCAUAGGUGCAGAAACUUGUAUUGAGGAAGUUAUUAUUUUAGGUAUAUUGAGCCUCAAGAUUUGAACCACGCUUUCCGUAUCCUCGGUCAUUUUGCUCCUCGCACCAACUUUUAUUUCGCAUCCAUAGGUGCAGAAACUUGUAUUGAGGAAGUUAUUAUUUUAGGUAUAUUGAGCCUCAAGAUUUGAACCACGCUUUCCGUAUCCUCGGUCAUUUUGCUCCUCGCACCAACUUUUAUUUCGCAUCCAUAGGUGCAGAAACUUGUAUUGAGGAAGUUAUUAUUUUAGGUAUAUUGAGCCUCAAGAUUUGAACCACGCUUUCCGUAUCCUCGGUCAUUUUGCUCCUCGCACCAACUUUUAUUUCGCA